rnacentral:rRNA from 1 species
GAGCACGUAGGUGGGUUUGUAAGUCAGAUGUGUAAGCCUUCUGUUCAACGGAAGAAUUGCAUCUGAAACUGCGAGUCUUGAGUGUAGGAGGGGAGAAUGGAACUUCUGGUGGAGCGGUGAAAUGCGUAGAUAUCAGAAGGAACUCCGGCGGCGAAAGCGAUUCUCUGGCCUAUUACUGACACUCAGUGUGCGAAAGCUAGGGGAGCAAACGGGAUUAGAUACCCCGGUAGUCCUAGCCGUAAACGAUGGGCACUAAGUAGAGGGGUUUU